rnacentral:lncRNA from 1 species
UGGGAGACGGCGGCCUGCAGUGGGCGCCGCGGGUCCUGGGGGGGCCCCUGGCGCCCCGCGGGGGUGAUGCUGACGCCGCCAGGUGCGGGGGCAGGUGAGGGCGCGUUCCCUGCGCCCGGGACCGCUCUGCCUGGGAGGGGGCGGCAGGCGGGGCGCGCGGCGCUGCUGCCCUGAGCAGGUGCUCCCGGGGGGCUCCAGGCCUCAGACCCGGGGGCCGCGGCCCUGCCCUGGGGCCUCCCGUGGGGGUCGGUCGUGCCCUGCGCUCCUAAUGGGUAACUUGGUCGCACGAGCCGUGCAGCCACUUUGUGCGGCGCUUGGCAGGGCGCCCUGUGAACUGUGGGCUUCCCCCCCUUAUUACUAAAAUUUACUUCCAGUUUAGUUAACAUGCUUUGUUAUAUCGAUUUCAGGCCUGUAAAACAGUGACUCAACUGUUCCACGUACCGCGGUGCUCCCCACGAUGCUGCCCUCUUAACCCCCUGCACCUGUUUCACCCCCCCCCCCCCCCCCCCCACCUCUCUCCUGGUGACCACAAUUUGCUCUCUAGAGUUCCGUCUAUUUUUUGGUUUAUCUCUUUUUCUCCUCCUUUGUUCAUUUGUUUGGUCUCAGAUUCCAGGAGCGCAGUCACAUGGGAUUUGUCUUUUUCUGCCUUCACUCGGCGUCAUACCCUCCGGAUCCACCCCGGUUGUGGCAAGUGGCAAGUGGCAAGGUCUCAUUCUUUUUGUCGGCUGAGUAUUUUUCCAGGGUCUAUAUCCACACAUCCGUCCAUGGGCACGCAGCACUCCCUGCAGGUGACACGGCAGCACAGAGCCGGUUCUCCUCAAGGAACAGUGUGUUUGCUGGAAAGGAUGACUGCUGCGAAGAGAGGACGAUUUUCUCCCCAGGUGUUUGUGACAGUUCCAUCCCACCUUUCCGUGACCGCGCGACCCUCCCAGCUCUCGGCCAUCAUCUUCUCGCUUUCUCACUUCUUGUUCUGCUACUCGCACAUUUUGGAAAGUGUUGGUGAAGGUGCAGAGAAGUCCUCAUUUCCAAAGAUGUUUACCAGCACCAGGACACCUAGCGCAGUGCCUUGCACGUGGUAUACACCAUACUCGUGUAGCUGUGUGGACGGGAACCAACCUAGUACAAGAGGCUUGUUUGUGCACAGGAGAGUGAGCAGGUGAUGGUAGAUAAGACCGAAAGGUUACACUCACCGGCAAACAUUUUUACACUUUAUUUAAUCCACUAUUUGCAACUAGUUGACCCAGUGAUGUUGGUUUAAAGCAGUGCUGUUCAGCCUUGGUCAGACACUGUGAUCACCUGAAGAGCUCUAAAAAUGCUGAUGCCCAGGUCCCACUCCAGGGAUUUGGAUUUGAUUGAUCUGUUGUAAUUUGGGUUCUGGGAAUUUCAGCAUCUGAUUCUUUUUUUUAAGAUUUUUUAUUUAUUUAUUCAUGAUAGACACAGAGAGAGAGGCAGAGACAGAAGCAGGCUCCCUACAUGGGACUCGAUCCUGGGUCUCCAGGAUCGCGCCCCGCCUCCAGGAUCGCGCCCCAAUCUCCAGGAUCGCGCCCCGGGGUUCUGGGAAUUUCAAAAGCCACUGCCCACCCCCCUGCUGACUUAAUAAGGAGCCCGUGGUGAGGACCACAGAUUCAAGGCCAGGGAUGCAUCUGCUGUAAGUGAUGUGUGUGCGCUCUGGGGUUUUAGAAAACAGCUCUGCCCUGUUAAAAUCAAAGGACUACUUCAGAUAACUCAGCUAUUUGUCUAAACUACAAUAGGAGGAAAUGUCUUCUUAGCAGAUCUAUCUUUAUGUCAGUUGCUUUUAGAAUAGGAGGUUGCUCCGGGCACAGCAGUUUGAUUUAGUCUGUGUUGAAAAUCAUUAAUGGCCUACAGAUACCAAAAAGGGAUGAAAAGAAUUUGCAAACAUGUGGAGUGCAUUAUACAUGUUUUCAAAUUUCUCCUAUGAUUAGAAAGGAAAACUGUAUUGCUGAAGACUUGAUUUCCUAAACUCAGGCCUCAGCCAUUUCCCUAAAUUAUCCCAAGUCUUUCCAAGACACUCAGCAUUCUCUGAAGGGGAUUAUUCCCCAUGUGAAGAGUAUGAGAUGGACGCCGAUUUCAAGGGAAUUCUGCUUCUAUUGCAGAAGUCUCACUUUCUAGAACCUCCGAUGACUAGGGAAGCUGCAGGAGCAGUAUGAACUAGUGGAGUCAGGGGAGCUCUGCAGUCAGGUGGAGUCAGGAGGGUCCCAGCCCAGCCACUUAGUAGCUCUGGGGCUUUGGACAGACUUCUUGACUUGGACGACAGUUGUAUAAACCUCUUGCAAGAAGAGGCAUAAGGGUACUGAUUACAAAAACAGCAGCAAUUCAUUCUUCCUGGCAGCGCACACCCUCUGCAAUGAGAUUUUACAGCUGCUCCCUUUCAGAGGCAGACUCUCUUCAUCCGAACUUUGCAUCAGAUCUGGUCUUACUUGCUCUGGCCAAGAGAAUGCAGUGGGACCUUGACAGUAGGCCAGUCUUAGAUGCUUCUGUUUUUCCUUUCAGAAUACAGCUGUCUCCAAGUCCAUGUUAGCCUUGGAGAGGCUCCAGGUCCAGCCUUAGCUGGAGGAUGAGAUGCCAUGAGGAAGAGAACCACGGUGCCCCCUUGACAGUCAACUCACCCCUCAGCAGCAGAGCCCCCUGGUCAACCAGCAGCUGACCACACAUGCAUGGAGGAGCCGAGCAGACACCAGACGGGUCCUGCUGAGCCCAGCCUAAGCUGCUGACCAGCUCAGUCAUGAGCUAGGUAAGUACUGGGGCGGGUUGUUACUCAAUAGCUAACUAAUACAUCAGUUGCAGAUAAGAUGUCAAGAUGCAAUGAUGUAUUAGUUAUAAGUUACUUGGCAAACAGUAGGCAUCCUAUAGGUGCUGAUUUCCUUCUUCCUUUAUAGAAAGUUGCAUCUCUUGAGUUAAACAGAAAUAAAUAUGUAGAUGCAGAUGUAUGUGAUUGGUGC